rnacentral:rRNA from 1 species
GACGAACGCUGGCGGCACGCUUAACACAUGCAAGUCGAACGAGAGAAGAGAAGCUUGCUUUUCUGAUCUAGUGGCGGACGGGUGAGUAACACGUGAGCAAUCUGCCUUUCAGUGGGGGAUACCGAUUGGAAACGAUCGUUAAUACCGCAUAACAUAAUUGAACCGCAUGAUUUGAUUAUCAAAGAUUUAUCGCUGAAAGCUGAGCUCGCGUCUGAUUAGCUAGUUGGUAAGGUAACGCCUUACCAAGGCGACGUUCAGUGGCCGGGCGGAGAGGUUGAUCGACUGGGUUGGAAAUAGGACACGGACACAAACCGGAGGGAGGGGGGGGGGGGGGAGAAUUACACAAGGAAGAAAGCUGGAUGAAAGCAGGGCGGGGGAGGGAAGAAUGGUUUUUGGAUGGAAAUCUCGGGUGUUAAGGACGAAAAAAGACGGUACCUGAGGAGGAAGCUCCGGCUAACUACGUG